UACGUAGGGUGCGAGCGUUAAUCGGAAUUACUGGGCGUAAAGCGUGCGCAGGCGGUUUUGUAAGCCAGAUGUGAAAUCCCCAGGCUUAACCUGGGAAUGGCAUUUGGGACUGCAAGGCUUGAGUGCGGCAGAGGAGACUGGAAUUCCUGGUGUAGCAGUGAAAUGCGUAGAUAUGCGGAGGAACACCGAUGGCGAAGGCAAUCCCCUGGGCCUGCACUGACGCUCAUGCACGAAAGCGUGGGGAGCAAACAGG
rnacentral:rRNA from 1 species